rnacentral:rRNA from 1 species
CAGGCCUAACACAUGCAAGUCGAGCGGUAGAGAGAAGCUUGCUUCUCUUGAGAGCGGCGGACGGGUGAGCAAUACCUAGGAAUCUGCCUGAUAGUGGGGGAUAACGUUCGGAAACGGACGCUAAUACCGCAUACGUCCUACGGGAGAAAGCAGGGGACCUUCGGGCCUUGCGCUAUCAGAUGAGCCUAGGUCGGAUUAGCUAGUUGGUGAGGUAAUGGCUCACCAAGGCUACGAUCCGUAACUGGUCUGAGAGGAUGAUCAGUCACACUGGAACUGAGACACGGUCCAGACUCCUACGGGAGGCAGCAGUGGGGAAUAUUGGACAAUGGGCGAAAGCCUGAUCCAGCCAUGCCGCGUGUGUGAAGAAGGUCUUCGGAUUGUAAAGCACUUUAAGUUGGGAGGAAGGGCAGUUACCUAAUACGUGAUUGUCUUGACGUUACCGACAGAAUAAGCACCGGCUAACUCUGUGCCAGCAGCCGCGGUAAUACAGAGGGUGCAAGCGUUAAUCGGAAUUACUGGGCGUAAAGCGCGCGUAGGUGGUUUGUUAAGUUGAAUGUGAAAUCCCCGGGCUCAACCUGGGAACUGCAUCCAAAACUGGCAAGCUAGAGUAUGGUAGAGGGUAGUGGAAUUUCCUGUGUAGCGGUGAAAUGCGUAGAUAUAGGAAGGAACACCAGUGGCGAAGGCGACUACCUGGACUGAUACUGACACUGAGGUGCGAAAGCGUGGGGAGCAAACAGGAUUAGAUACCCUGGUAGUCCACGCCGUAAACGAUGUCAACUAGCCGUUGGGAGUCUUGAACUCUUAGUGGCGCAGCUAACGCAUUAAGUUGACCGCCUGGGGAGUACGGCCGCAAGGUUAAAAC